GGAAGUGCGGAUCCCAGCGGCGGUCGUGUAGCUGAGCAGGCCUGGGGCUUGGUUCUAUGUCCCUGUAGCUAUGUUUCCAGUGUCCUCUGGGUGUUUCCAAGAGCAACAAGAAACGAAUAAAUCUCUGCCCCGCAGCGCCUCCACCCCAGAGACCCGGACCAAGUUCACACAGGACAAUCUGUGCCACGCCCAGCGCGAGCGCCUGGACUCGGCCAACCUGUGGGUGCUGGUGGACUGCAUCCUUCGCGACACCUCCGAGGACCUGGGACUCCAGUGUGACGCCGUGAACCUGGCCUUCGGGCGCCGCUGUGAGGAACUGGAGGACGCGCGGCACAAGCUGCAGCACCACCUGCACAAGGUGGGGCACCCUGAACCCCGAAGACGGCUCCGGCGCCUGCCCACCACUCUGCCCCCUCUCAUCACCUGGCCUGGGCCCUCAACACCUUUCUCCUCUGUCCCACUUAUCCCGAGGGACCCCAGAAGCAAGUGUCACCUCUCCGUAAACCUAUGUAAAACCAGGUGACACUGGGUAUGAUCGCAGUGUGUUGCAACCCCCAUGACUGAGAAGGAGGAGCUGUGGGGAGGAUGGAGGCAGGAGCUGGUCUGGGGAGCAUUGACUGCCUGGGAGGUCCCCAAGAGUCCUGGCCUGGCAGGCAGGGCUCUGACUCUAGGGCCUCAGCAUGGCCUUUACCACCUCUGAGUCCCCAGUCCUUGAGCAGGAUUUGGGUCCUGGUGACCACCAAGGAUGGGGGGUUCUUGGACCAGAGCUAAGAGACAACAGGCUGCCUGACUCUCCAGAGCCCGCUGGGGGCCCCGUGCACAUUGUUCCCCUCACCCACGCCUCCCCAGGGCCACUGGUCAGGACCACCCUCUGGACACAGCCCCAGGAGCUGGGUAGGACCAGACUGGUCUCUACAUUCCAUAUGCCCGGGCAUGGGGGCACAGGCCCAAGGGGCACUGUCCUGUCUGCAGAUGCUGCGGGAAAUCACAGAUCAGGAACACAACGUGGUGGCACUGAAGGAGGCCAUCAAGGACAAGGAGGAACCUCUGCACAUAGCCCAGACCCGGCUGUAGUUGCUCUCACACCGGCCCAACAUGCAGCUGUGCCGCGAUGCAGCCCAGUUCAGCCCCAGCUCACACCCCCCAACACCCCCAAGCUGGUGAGUGAGGUGGAGGAGCUGUACAAGUCCAUCACAGCGCUGCGGGAGAAGCUUCUACAAGCGGAGCAGUCCCUGCGCAACCUCAAGGACAUCCACAUGAGCCUGGAGAAGGACGUCACUGCCAUGACCAACAGUCUCUUCAUCGACCGCCAGAAGUGCAUGGCCCAUCGUACUUGCUACCCCACCAUUCUGCAGCUGGCUGGCUACCAGUGAGCAGCGGCACGGUGCUUCCCCCCAAUCCCCCAAAUAAACAGUGCGUUAGCUUUCU
ensembl:lncRNA TEKT4P2 tektin 4 pseudogene 2